rnacentral:rRNA from 1 species
CAGUAGCCGCGGUAAUACGUAGGUGGCAAGCGUUGUCCGGAAUUAUUGGGCGUAAAGGGCUCGCAGGCGGUUUCUUAAGUCUGAUGUGAAAGCCCCCGGCUCAACCGGGGAGGGUCAUUGGAAACUGGGAAACUUGAGUGCAGAAGAGGAGAGUGGAAUCCCACGUGUAGCGGUGAAAUGCGUAGAGAUGUGGAGGAACACCAGUGGCGAAGGCGACUCUCUGGUCUGUAACUGACGCUGAGGAGCGAAAGCGUGGGGAGCGAACAGGAUUAGAUACCCGCGUAGUCCCUGUCUCUUAUAC